UAAUUUUGGUUUUGUCAGGCAGGUUGCUAUUAAAAGAAUAAAGAGAAAGUACUACUCUUGGGAGGAGUGUAGGAAUCUUAGAGAAGUAAAGUCCUUACGGAAGAUGAACCAUCCCAACAUUGUGAAGCUGAAGGAGGUUAUCAGAGAAAAUGAUGUCUUGUACUUCGUUUUUUAGUAUAUGGAGUGCAACCUUUAUCAGCUCAUGAAAGAUAGGCGAAAACCUUUUUCAGAGAUUGAAGUCAGGAACUGGUGCUUCCAAGUCUUUCAAGCUCUUGCUUAUGCACCAGCGUGGAU